CGUCCUACGGGGGGCAGCAGUGGGGAAUAUUGCACAAUGGGGGGAACCCUGAUGCAGCGACGCCGCGUGGGUGAAGAAGUCAUUCGUGACGUAAAGCCCUAUCAGCAGGGAAGAAAAUGACGGUACCUGACUAAGAAGCCCCGGCUAACUACGUGCCAGCAGCCGCGGUAAUACGUAGGGGGCAAGCGUUAUCCGGAUUUACUGGGUGUAAAGGGAGCGUAGACGGCUGUGCAAGCCUGAAGUGAAAGGCGGGGGCCCAACCCCUGGACUGCUUUGGGAACUGUACGGCUGGAGUGCAGGAGAGG
rnacentral:rRNA from 1 species